AGUGAACGCUGGCGGUAGGCCUAACACAUGCAAGUCGAACGGCAGCACAGUAAGAGCUUGCUCUUACGGGUGGCGAGUGGCGGACGAGUGAGGAAUACAUCGGAAUCUACUUUUUCGUGGGGGAUGACGUAGGGAAACUUACGCUAAUACCGCAUACGACCUACGGGUGAAAGCAGGGGAUCUUCGGACCUUGCGCGAUUGAAUGAGCCGAUGUCGGAUUAGCUAGUUGGCGGGGUAAAGGCCCACCAAGGCGACGAUCCGUAGCUGGUCUGAGAGGAUGAUCAGCCACACUGGAACUGAGACACGGUCCAGACUCCUACGGGAGGCAGCAGUGGGGAAUAUUGGACAGUGGGCGCAAGCCUGAUCCAGCCAUACCGCGUGGGUGAAGAAGGCCUUCGGGUUGUAAAGCCCUUUUGUUGGGAAAGAAAAGCAGCAGGUUAAUACCCCGCUGUUCUGACGGUACCCAAAGAAUAAGCACCGGCUAACUUCGUG
rnacentral:rRNA from 1 species